rnacentral:rRNA from 1 species
AAUAGAUACCCCGGUAGUCCUGGCCAUAAACGAUGAUCACUAGGUGUAGGAGGCUUCGACCCCUUCUGCGCCGCCGCUAACGCAUUAAGUGAUCCGCCUGGGGAGUACGGCCGCAAGGUUAAAAACUCAAAGGAAUUGACGGGGGCCCGCACAAGCAGUGGAGCAUGUGGUUUAAUUCGAUGCUACGCGAAAAACCUUACCAGGGUUUGACAUCCCGGUGUAACCCCCAUAGAAAUAUGGGGCCCCUUCGGGGCACCGGUGACAGGUGGUGCAUGGUUGUCGUCAGCUCGUGCCGUGAGGUGUUGGAUUAAGUUCCGCAACGAGCGCAACCCUCGUUGCUAGUUGCCAUCAUUAAGUUGGGCACUCUAGCGAGACUGCCAGCGUCAAGCUGGAGGAAGGUGGGGGAUGACGUCAAAUCAUCAUGCCCCUUACAUCCUGGGCUACACACGUGCUACAAUGGCCGGUACAACAGGUUGCUACUUCGCGAGAAGAUGCGAAAUCCCCGAAAAGCCGGUCUCGAGUUCGGAUUGCAGGCUGA